rnacentral:rRNA from 1 species
UACGUAGGUCGCAAGCGUUGUCCGGAUUUACUGGGCGUAAAGAGCGCGCAGGCGGUCGUUCAAGUCGCGUGUGAAAGCCCCCGGCUCAACUGGGGAGGGUCACGCGAUACUGAUCGACUCGAAGGCAGGAGAGGGUAGUGGAAUUCCCGGUGUAGUGGUGAAAUGCGUAGAUAUCGGGAGGAACACCAGUGGCGAAGGCGACUACCUGGCCUGUUCUUGACGCUGAGCGCGAA